CCAGCAAGCUGGAGAUCCCCAUGCCAGCCAUGGUGGAAGUGGAGAUCGGGGGCACAGCCAGGACCGAGUGCAACUUCUACAUCCCUGAAGAUGCUUCCUACACCCACAUUGAUCAGUUCUAGGUGGACACAGCAACAGGCAGGUGAGGCUGUACCACAGCACGGCCAGCAGCGUCCUGGAGGACAACACGGACUACAGGGAGCGGCUGUGGGGACAAGGCCCUGUCCAUCAGCACGGUGACAGUGCAGGACACCAGGUGUGCCAGGUGGGAGCUGGCAGCUACGGCUUGGAACUGAAGAGUGAGAAAUCCAUCGCUCUGAGAAACUGGAGAGGAAACCUGCGGAGUGCUUCCUUCCUUCAAACCUUCCCUGCUCUUGCACUGCCUUCUCCCAGCCCUGCUCCAGCCCCUGGGGAGCACGGCCAGAGCCCACCCGUGUGUCACCGUGCUGGGCGUGCAGGGGCCACCUCCCUGACUCACCUGGCCCUUCCCUCAGCCUUGCAGGUGUUGCCUGGGCAGCAAAGCUGGGCUUGCUUCACUACUCCGGAGAAGCCACAGCAAUAUUAGGAAGAACGAUCCCAUUAAUCCCUACUUAGUGGAAGGACUUGAGGCUUUUUCAGGUAAUCUGUCCUGUACAUGUGUGGGAAGGUUUGGAUGUGGGUUUUUUACCCUGAACUUGCUCAGAGAGGCUGGUGAAAUUUGGGUUUUGGGAUGUGCCAGGCACCUUAGCUGUAGUGGUGUGCAGGUU